AGAGUUUGAUCCUGGCUCAGGAUAAACGCUGGCGGCGUGCCUAACACAUGCAAGUCGAACGCCCUUCGCAAGAAGGGAGUGGCGGACGGGUGAGGAACACGUGGGUUAUCUACCUCCGGGUGAGGAAUACCGGCGAGAAAUCGCCGACAAUACCGCAUAUCCUUCGCAAGAAGGAAAGCUCCGCAAGGGGCGCCGGGAGAUGAGCCUGCGGCUGAUUAGCCAGUUGGUGGGGUAAUGGCCUACCAAAGCGACGAUCAGUAGCUGGUCUGAGAGGACGAUCAGCCACACUGGGAUUGAGAACGGCCCAGACUCCUACGGGGGGCAGCAGUGAGGAAUUUUCGGCAAUGGGCGCAAGCCUGACCGAGCAACGCCGCGUGCAGGAUGACGGCCUUCGGGUUGUAAACUGCUUUCUUCGGGACGAGCAAGGACGUACCAGAGAACAGCCCGU
rnacentral:rRNA from 1 species